UUGAAGAAGGUUGCAGGAUGCCUGGUUGCCCUUUUUAAGGGCCCUCAGCGCAGGAAGUCACACAGGAUGCCUGGUUCACCAAUCGUGCACCACCGCCUUGGCACCCUAUUAAGGGCGCUGAGCGCCAGCCUUCAACCGUCAUAAAUCGCCUGGGCGCCCUUUGAGGGGCCCUAAGCCCUAUCGUCUCGCAAGCUCGCCCGACUGCCUUAAGUUGUGGCGUUGAGCGCCAGCGUGUUGGGCUUGGACCCGUUUUCUCUUAUUUUUCUGAUCUACUUAAGGACUUGGACGUCCUAUGGAUUGUAUCUUUUGGAAGAGGGAGCGC
rnacentral:lncRNA from 1 species